GCCUUCGUGGUGUAACGGUAGCACACUUGGCCCCUAUUCGAAAGGUCCAGGUUCGAGUCCCGGCGAGGGCA
rnacentral:tRNA from 1 species